rnacentral:rRNA from 1 species
YAAACGACUCUCGGCAACGGAUAUCUCGGCUCAUGCAUCGAUGAAGAACGUAGCGAAAUGCGAUACUUGGUGUGAAUUGCAGAAUCCCGUGAACCAUCGAGUCUUUGAACGCAAGUUGCGCCCGAAGCCAUUCGGCCGAGGGCACGUCUGCCUGGGCGUCACGC